UUUGGGUAUGUUUGAAGUUUCUGGUUGCAAACUUGAAGUACUUUGAAGUGUUGCAGAUGCAUCUGCUUUUGUUGCAUUGUUUAGAGGUGUAGUAUUGCUAGAAAGAGUUUCAGCUGGUGUUGUUUUGAUUGAUGAUUGACUUGGAAUUGUAGAUGCUGGGGAUGUUGAUGCAUUUGUGUUUGAAACUGAUGUUAUUGGAGCUAUUGGAAAUUCUGCUGCACUGGUGAGACCUGUAUUAAUUCCAGUUGUAGUUGUUGAUGCAGUUGUAGUUUCUGAAUCCAUGUUUGGGAUUGGAGUUGUUUUGGUUGAAAGUGCAAGUGUGGCUGGAGCAGAAGAUGUGUUGGUAAAAGCUACAGUUGUUCUUAAAAGAUCUCCUGUUGUUACUUGAAAUGCAGUUGUUGUUUGAGCUGCAGUUGAACUUGGAAUAGUGGCUGUUGUUGUGGUUGGAGCUGUAGUUGAGAUAUCAGCUGGAACUGUAGUGGUGGGAAGAACAGUCAUGGUUGUAAUGGGUGUAGUUGGGGUUCUUGGAGGUUCAGUUGUUUUUAUUGGAGUUAAAGUUGGGGAUAUAGUUACAUGUGAUGAUGAGAUAGGCAUAAUUGUUACAGCAAUAGUUACAGUCUCCGGAGACACAGUUGUGAUAAUUGGAGGUGCAUUUGUUGUGGUAAGGAGUCCUGCUUGGCUUAGAGCUGGAGCUGUAUUAGUGAAAGCAAUAGUUGUGGUUGAUAGAGGUGCAGUUGUUAUUCGGAAUGCAGUUGUUGUUGCCGCUGUAGGUGUGUUUGUGCCUGGAAUUGAAGUUGAGGUUUGAGAUGGAUUUUCUGUUGUGGGAUAGUUAUUCGUAGAAGAGGAAGCUGUAAUGGUGGAUGUUGCAGGUGCAGGAGUACUUUCUGAAGUUGUAGACAUUGUUGGUGAAGUAAGAGUUGAGGUUUCAGUAGUUGUGGCUGGGGUUAAACUUGAUGUAGUAGUUGAAUAUUCCAUCAUGGUUGUGGAAUCUGUGGUUACAGCAGGUGAAGUUAUACUUUCUGAAUUUGUGUUCGGACCUUUUGAUGUUGUACUUGCAGCCUUAGGUGUGGUUUGAUCUGAUGUAGAAGUGGAAGGAAUGGUUGUGGUGAUGGAAGCUGUAGUUGUGGUUGUUGCAAGAGAAGCUGCUGUUGUCGUUGAAGCUACAGUGGUAGUUGUGGACGUUGUAGUUAUCGAUGUUGUUGGUGCAGUUGUGGUUUCUGAAGUCAUUUUGGUGAUUGUGAGUGUUUCAGUAGUUGCAGGUGCAAGUGGCAUUGUGGUUUGAGCUGUUGUUGCACUUGGAGCUUCAGAUGACAUUGGAGCUGAUGUCAUAGAGGAAGGUACAUUUAUAGAUGAGGAAGCUGUAGUUACUGAUGUUGUUACAGGUGCAGAUGUUUCUGAAGAUGUAGCCAUUGUUGUUGAAAUUACAGCUGUUGAUGUUGUUGGAUAAUUAGUUGCUGUACCUCGAGAUUCAGAUGAGGUUGGAGAUGAUGAUGUAGUAGUAGAAUGCACUAUCGCAGCUGAGGAAGCUGUAGAUGUUGAAGAUGCAGUUGUAAUUUCGGAAGCUGUAGUCACAGUAGUGGAUGGCCCCACUGUGGCUGUGGAAGCUGCAGUUGUGCUUGCUGCAGGUGUAGUUGUACUUUCUGAUGUUGUAGGCAUUGUUGUAGACGUAAGAGUUGUUGCUCCUGAAGUCACAACAGUGGAUGUGAGAGCUCCAGUAGAUGUGGUUGCAAGCAGCAAUGUGGUUUUAGAUGUUGUUGUACUUGGAGCUUCAGAUGACAUUGGAGCUGAUGUCAUAGAGGAAGGUACAGUUGUAGGUGAGGAAGCUGUAGUUACUGAUGUUGUUACAGGUGCAGUUGUUUCUGAAGAUGUAGGCACUGUUGUUGAAGUGAGAGUUGAGGAUUCUGAAGUUACAGCUGUUGAUGUUGUUGGAGUGUUCUUUGCUGUAAAUAUAGUUGAUGAAGCCGUAGUCAUAGCUUCUGCCGUUGUACUCUCUGAAGUUGUAGGCACCACUGUCGAAAUGAUAGGUGUGGUUUCUGUUCUCACAACCGUGGUUGUGGGAAUAUAGGUUUUUGAGGAUACUGUAGUUACUGAUGUUACAGUUGCAGUAGAUUCUGAAGAUGUAGGCUUAGCUGUUGAAGUAAGAGUUAUGGAUUCAGUACUCACAACUGUGGUUGUGGGAAUUUCAGUAGUUGAGGAUGCUGUAGUUACUGAUUUUGUUAGAGGUGUAGUUGUUUCUGAAGAUGUAGCUAUAACUGUUGAAGUAGGAGUUGUAGAUUCAGAAGUUACAAAUGUUGAUGUUGUUGGAUUGUUCGUUUUUGUAGGUGUGGUUGAUGAAGCUGUAGUCAUGGUUUCAGCUGUUGUACUCUUCAAAGUUGUGGGCAACACUGUUGAAGUAAUAGGUGUGGUUUCUGUACUCACAGCUGUGGUUGUGGAAAUUUUGAUAGUUGAGGAUGCUUUAGUUACUGAAGUUGUUACAGGUGCAGUUGUUUCUGAAGAUGUAGGCAAUGUUGUUGAAGUGAGAGUUGAGGAUUCUGAAGGUAUAACUGUUGAUGUUGUUGGAUUGUUUGUUGUUGCAGGUGUGGAUGAUGAAGCUGUAGUCGUGGUUUCUGCUGUUGUACUCUCUGAAGUUGUAGGCACCACUGUUGAAGUAAUAGGUGUGGUUUCUUUACUCACAACUGUGCUUGUGGGAAUUUCAGAAGUUGAGGAUGCUGUAGUUACUGAUGUUUUUACAGGUGCAGUUGUUUCUGAAGAUGUAGGCACUGUUUUUGAAGUGAGAGUUGUGGAUUCUGAAGUUACAAAUGUUGAUGUUGUUGGAUUGUUUGUUGUAAGUGUGGUUGAUGAAGCUGUAGAUGUGGUUUCUGCUGUUGUACUCUCUGAAGUUGUGGGCACCACUGUUGAAGUAAUAGGUGUGGUUUCUGUACUCAUAACUGUGGUUGUGAGAAUUUCAGUAGUUGAGGAUGCUUUAGUUACUGAAGUUGUUACAGGUGCAGUUGUUUCUGAAGAUGUAGGCAAUGUUGUUGAAGUGAGAGUUGAGGAUUCUGAAGGUAUAACUGUUGAUGUUGUUGGAUUGUUUGUUGUUGCAGGUGUGGAUGAUGAAGCUGUAGUCGUGGUUUCUAGUGUUGUACUUUCUGAAGUUGAAUGCACCACUGUUGAAGUAAUAGGUGUGGUUUCUGUACUCACAACUGUGGUUGUAGGAAUUUCAGUAGUUGAGGAUGCUGUAGUUACUGAAGUUGUUACAGGUGCAGUUGUUUCUGAAGAUGCAGGCACUGUUGUUGAAGUGAGAGCUGUGGAUGCUGAAGUUACAGCUUUUGAUGUUGGAUUGUUUGUUGUUGUAGAAAUUGUUGAUGAAGCUGUAGUCGUGGUUUCUGCUGUUGUACUCUCUGAAGUUGUAGGCACCACUGUUGAAGUAAUAGGUGUGGUUUCUUUACUCACAACUGUGCUUGUGGGAAUUUCAGAAGUUGAGGAUGCUGUAGUUACUGAUGUUUUUACAGGUGCAGUUGUUUCUGAAGAUGUAGGCAAUGUUGUUGAAGUGAGAGUUGAGGAUUCUGAAGGUAUAACUGUUGAUGUUGUUGGAUUGUUUGUUGUUGCAGGUGUGGAUGAUGAAGCUGUAGUCGUGGUUUCUAGUGUUGUACUUUCUGAAGUUGAAUGCACCACUGUUGAAGUAAUAGGUGUGGUUUCUGUACUCACAACUGUGGUUGUAGGAAUUUCAGUAGUUGAGGAUGCUGUAGUUACUGAAGUUGUUACAGGUGCAGUUGUUUCUGAAGAUGCAGGCACUGUUGUUGAAGUGAGAGCUGUGGAUGCUGAAGUUACAGCUUUUGAUGUUGGAUUGUUUGUUGUUGUAGAAAUUGUUGAUGAAGCUGUAGUCGUGGUUUCUGCUGUUGUACUCUCUGAAGUUGUAGGCACCACUGUUGAAGUAAUAGGUGUGGUUUCUUUACUCACAACUGUGCUUGUGGGAAUUUCAGAAGUUAAGGAUGCUGUAGUUACUGAUGUUUUUACAGGUGCAGUUGUUUCUGAAGAUGUAGGCAAUGUUGUUGAAGUGAGAGUUGUGGAUUCUGAAGUUACAAAUGUUGAUGUUGUUGGAUUGUUUGUUGUAAGUGUGGUUGAUGAAGCUGUAGUCAUGGUUUCUCCUGUUGUACUCUCUGAAGUCGUAGGCACCACUGUUGAAGUAAUGGAUGUGGUUUCUGAACUCACAACUGUGGUUGUGGGAAUUUCAGUACUUGAGGAUGCUGUAGUUACUGAUGUUGUUACAGGUGUAGUUGUUUCUUUAGAUGUAGGCAAUGUCGUUGAAAUGAGAGUUGUGGGUUCUGAAGUUACAGCUUUUGAUGUUGUUGGAGCAUUUGUUGUUGUAGGAGUGGUUGAUGAAGCUGUAGUUGUGGUUUGUACAGUGGUGGUUUCUACAGUUGUACUCUCUGAAGUUGUAGGCAUCACUUUUGAAGUUGUAGAUGUGGAUUGUGUACUCACAACUGUGGUUGUGGGAAUUUCAGUAGUUGAGGAGGCUGUAGUUACUGAAGUUGUUAAAGGUGCAGUUGUUUCUGAAGAUGUAGGUGCUGUCGUUGUAGUAAGAAUUGUGGAUUCUGAAGUUACAACUGUUGAUGUUGUUGGUUCGUUUGUUGUUGUAGGAGCAGUUGAUGAAGCUGUAGUCGUGGUUUCUACUGUUGUACUCUCUGAAGUUGUAGGCAUCACUAUUGAAGUAGUAGAUAUGGAUUCUGUACCAGCAAUUGUGGUUGUGGGAAUUUCAGUUGUUGAGGAUGCUGUAGUUACUGAUGUUGUUAGAGGUGUAGUUGUUUCUGAAGAUGUAAGUAUAACUGUUGAAGUAAGAGUUGUAGAUUCAGAAGUUACAGAUGUUGUUGUUGUUGGAUUGUUCGUUGUUGUUGGUGUGGUUGAUGAAACUGUAGUCGUGGUUUCUGCUGUUGUACUCUCUGAAGUUGUAGGCACCACUGUUGAAGAAACAGAUGUGGUUUCUGAACUUACAACUGUGGUUGUGGGAAUUUCACUAGUUGAGGAUGCUGUAGUUACUGAUGUUGUUACAGGUGCAGUUGUUUCUAUAGAUGUAGCCACUGUUGAUGAAGUGAGAACUGUAGAUUCUGAAGUUGCAGCUGUUGAUGUUGUUGGAUUGUUAGUUGUUGUAGGAGUGGUUGAUGAAGCUGUAGUCGUUGUUUCUACUGUUGUACUCUCUGAAGUUGUAGGCACAACUGUUGAAGUAAUAGAUGUGGUUUCUAAACUCACCACUGUGGUUUUUGGAAUUUCAGUAGUUGAGGAUGCUGUAGUUACUGAUGUUGUUAGAGGUGUAGUUGUUUCUGAAGAUGUAGGUAUAACUGUUGAAGUAAGAGUUGUAGAUUCAGAAGUUACAGAUGUUGAUGUUGUUGGAUUGUUCCUUGUUGUUGGUGUGGUUGAUGAAACUGUAGUCGUGGUUUCUGCUGUUGUACUCUCUGAAGUUGUAGGCACCACUGUUGAAGAAACAGAUGUGGUUUCUGAACUUACAACUGUGGUUGUGGGAAUUUCAGUAGUUGAGGAUGCUGUAGUUACUGAUGUUGUUACAGGUGCAGUUGUUUCUAUAGAUGUAGGCACUGUUGUUGAAGUGAGAGUUGUGGAUUCUGAAGUUGCAGCUGUUGAUGUUGGAUUGUUCGUUGUUGUAGUUGUGGUUGAUGAAGCUGUAGUCGUGGUUUCUGCUGUUGUACUCUCUGAAGUUGUAGGCACCGCUGUUGAAGUAAUAGAUGUGGUUUCUGUACUCACAACUGUGGUUGUCGGAAUUUCAGUAGUUGAGGAUGCUGUAGUUUCUGAAGUUGUUAAAGGUGCAGUUGUUUCUGAAGAUGUAGGCGCUGUCGUUGAAAUUAGAGUUGUGGAUUCUGAAGUUACAGCUGUUGAUGUUGUUGGAUUGUUUGUUGUUGUAGGAGUGGUUGAUGAAGCUGUAGUCGUGGUUUCUACUGUUGUACUUUCUGAAGUUGUAGGCAUCACUGUUGAAGUAAUAGAUGUGGUUUCUGUACUCACAACUGUGGUUCUGGGAAUUUCAGUAGUUGAGGAUGCUGUAGUUACUGAUGUUGUUAGAGGUGUAGUUGUUUCUGAAGAUGUAGGUGUAACUGUUGAAGUAAGAGUUGUAGAUUCAGAAGUUACAGAUGUUGAUGUUGUUGGAUUGUUCGUUGUUGUAGUUGUGGUUGAUGAAGCUGUAGUCGUGGUUUCUGCUGUUGUACUCUCUGAAGUUGUAGGCACCACUGUUGAAGUAAUAGAUGUGGUUUCUGUACUCACAACUGUGGUUGUGGGAAUUUCAGUAGUUGAGGAUGCUGUAGUUUCUGAAGUUGUUAAAGGUGCAGGUGUUUCUGAAGAUGUAGGCGCUGUCGUUGAAGUGAGAGUUGUGGAUUCUGAAGUUACAGCUGUUGAUGUUGUUGGAUUGUUUGUUGUUGUAGGAGUGGUUGAUGAAGCUGUAGUCGUGGAUUCUACUGUUGUACUCUCUGAAGUUGUAGGCACAACUGUUGAAGUAAUAGAUGUGGAUUCUGUACUCACAACUGUGGUUGUGGGAAAUUCAGUAGUUGAGGAGGCUGUAGUUACUGAUGUUGUUAGAGGUGUAGUUGUUUCUGAAGAUGUAGGCGCUGUCGUUGAAGUGAGAGUUGUGGAUUCUGAAGUUACAGCUGUUGAUGUUGUUGGAUUGUUUGUUGUUGUAGGAGUGGUUGAUGAAGCUGUAGUCGUGGUUUCUACUGUUGUACUCUCUGAAGUUGUAGGCACCACUGUUGAAGUAAUAGAUGUGGUUUCUGUACUCACAACUGUGGUUGUGGGAAUUUCAGUAGUUGAGGAUGCUGUAGUUUACUGAA
ensembl:lncRNA